rnacentral:rRNA from 1 species
UUUAUUAAUUAUAUUUUUAUUAAAUAAUUGUAUUAAAAAUAAUUAUAAAAUUUAGUGUUUAGUAGUUUAUAAUAAAAAAAUAAUUUUAAUUAUAGUUUAUUAGUAUUGUGAAAGAAAAUUGAAAUAAAUUGAAAAAUUUUUAUUUUAAAAGAAAAUUUAAUUUAUUGUACCUUUUGUAUCAGGGUAUAUCAAAUUAAAAUUAUAUAUUAAUAAUUUUCUCGAUUUUAAAAGAUUUAAUAAAUUAUUAAAGUUAUUGUAAUAAAAUUAUUUUAAAUAAUUUAUUAGAAAUGAAAUGUUAUUCGUUUUUAAAGGUAUCUAGUUUUUUUAGAAAUAAAUUUAAUUUAGAAAUUUUAAAUGAUUUUGUUAAUUAAUUAAUAAAAUUAAUUUUUAAUUUUACUAUUAUAUGGGAUAAGCUAUUUAAUAAAUUUUUAAAAAUUAUUAAAUUAUUUUAAUAAAUAUAUGCUUAUAACUAGCAAUUAUUAAUAAUUAUGUUAUAAUUUAUUUUAUAAUAAUUAUGAUUUAAUAUAUUUUAAAUUUUUAUAAAAAUAUUUAUUUUAAUUUGUAAAAUAAAAUAAUAAUGAUAUAAUUAGUAUAUUUAUAAUUUUUAUUAAUAAAAUUAUAUGAAAGGUUUUUAUAAAGAAUUCGGCAAAAAUUAAUAUUCACCUGUUUAACAAAAACAUGUCUUUUAGAAUUUAAUUUAAAGUCUAACCUGCCCACUGAAUAAUUUUAAAUGGCCGCAGUAUCCUGACUGUGCAAAGGUAGCAUAAUCAUUAGUCUUUUAAUUGAAGGCUGGAAUGAAUGGUUGGAUGAAAUAUUAACUGUUUCAUAAAAAUUAAUAAUAGAAUUUUAUUUUUUAGUCAAAAAGCUAAAAUUUAAUUAAAAGACGAGAAGACCCUAUAAAUCUUUAUAUUAAUUUAAUUUUAAUUAUAUUGAUAAAUUAAAUUAUAAUUAUUUUUAAUAUUUUAUUGGGGUGAUAUUAAAAUUUAAUAAACUUUUAAUUUAUAAUUUACAUAAAUUAAUGAAUUAUUGAUCCAUUUAUUAUGAUUAAAAAAUUAAGUUACUUUAGGGAUAACAGCGUAAUUUUUUUAGAGAGUUCAUAUUGAUAAAAAAGAUUGCGACCUCGAUGUUGGAUUAAGAUAUAAUUUUAGGUGCAGUAGCUUAAAUUUAAAGUCUGUUCGACUUUUAAAUUCUUACAUGAUCUGAGUUCAGACCGGCGUAAGCCAGGUUGGUUUCUAUCUUUAAUAAAAAAAUAUAUUUUAGUACGAAAGGACCAAAUAUAUAAAUAACCUAUUUUAAAUAAUGAAUAUUAUUAAUUUA